ACAGAGGGUGCAAGCGUUAAUCGGAAUUACUGGGCGUAAAGGGUGCGUAGGUGGUUUGUUAAGUCAGGCGUGAAAUCCUCGGGCUCAACCUGGGAACUGCGCUUGAUACUGGCAGACUCGAGUGUGGUAGAGGAUAGUGGAAUUCCCGGUGUAGCGGUGAAAUGCGUAGAUAUCGGGAGGAACAUCAGUGGCGAAGGCGGCUAUCUGGACUAACACUGACACUGAGGCACGAAAGCGUGGGUAGCAAACAGGAUUAGAUAUUUUGGUAGUCCACGCCCUAAACGAUGGGUACUAGACGUCGGGAAGCUUGUCUUCUUGGUGUCGCAGCUAACGCAAUAAGUACCCCGCCUGGGGAGUACGGUCGCAAGAUUA
rnacentral:rRNA from 1 species